AUGAACGCUGGCGGCGUGCCUAACACAUGCAAGUCGAACGGAGUCGUUUUGGAAAUCUCUUCGGAGAUGGAAUUCUCGACUUAGUGGCGGACGGGUGAGUAACGCGUGAGCAAUCUGCCUUUAAGAGGGGGAUAACAGUCGGAAACGGCUGCUAAUACCGCAUAAAGCAUUAAAUUCGCAUGUUUUUGAUGCCAAAGGAGCAAUCCGCUUUUAGAUGAGCUCGCGUCUGAUUAGCUAGUUGGCGGGGUAACGGCCCACCAAGGCGACGAUCAGUAGGCGGACUGAGAGGUUGAACGGCCACAUUGGGACUGGGACACGGCCCAGACUCCUACGGGAGGCAGCAGUGGGGAAUAUUGCGCAAUGGGGGACACCCUGACGCAGCGACGCCGCGUGAUUGAAGAAGGCCUUCGGGUUGUAAAGAUCUUUAAGCAGGGACGAAACAAAUGACGGUACCUGAAGAAUAAGCUCCGGCUAACUACGU
rnacentral:rRNA from 1 species